rnacentral:rRNA from 1 species
GGUUAAGCGACUAAGCGUACACGGUGGAUGCCCUGGCAGUCAGAGGCGAUGAAGGACGUGCUAAUCUGCGAUAAGCGCCGGUAAGGUGAUAUGAACCGUUAUAACCGACGAUUUCCGAAUGGGGAAACCCAGUGUGACUCGUCACACUAUCAUUAACUGAAUCCAUAGGUUAAUGAGGCGAACCGGGGGAACUGAAACAUCUAAGUACCCCGAGGAAAAGAAAUCAACCGAGAUUCCCCCAGUAGCGGCGAGCGAACGGGGAGGAGCCCAGAGCCUGAAUCAGCAUGUGUGUUAGUGGAAGCGUCUGGAAAGGCGCGCGAUACAGGGUGACAGCCCCGUACACAAAAGCGCAUGUGCUGUGAGCUCGAUGAGUAGGGCGGGACACGUGGUAUCCUGUCUGAAUAUGGGGGGACCAUCCUCCAAGGCUAAAUACUCCUGACUGACCGAUAGUGAACCAGUACCGUGAGGGAAAGGCGAAAAGAACCCCGGCGAGGGGAGUGAAAAAGAACCUGAAACCGUGUACGUACAAGCAGUGGGAGCACCUUCGGGUGUGACUGCGUACCUUUUGUAUAAUGGGUCAGCGACUUAUAUUCUGUAGCAAGGUUAACCGAAUAGGGGAGCCGUAGGGAAACCGAGUCUUAACCGGGCGUUAAGUUGCAGGGUAUAGACCCGAAACCCGGUGAUCUAGCCAUGGGCAGGUUGAAGGUUGGGUAACACUAACUGGAGGACCGAACCGACUAAUGUUGAAAAAUUAGCGGAUGACCUGUGGCUGGGGGUGAAAGGCCAAUCAAACCGGGAGAUAGCUGGUUCUCCCCGAAAGCUAUUUAGGUAGCGCCUCGUGAAUUCAUCUCCGGGGGUAGAGCACUGUUUCGGCUAGGGGGCCAUCCCGGCUUACCAACCCGAUGCAAACUGCGAAUACCGGAGAAUGUUAUCACGGGAGACACACGGCGGGUGCUAACGUCCGUCGUGAAGAGGGAAACAACCCAGACCGCCAGCUAAGGUCCCAAAGUCAUGGUUAAGUGGGAAACGAUGUGGGAAGGCUCAGACAGCCAGGAUGUUGGCUUAGAAGCAGCCAUCAUUUAAAGAAAGCGUAAUAGCUCACUGGUCGAGUCGGCCUGCGCGGAAGAUGUAACGGGGCUAAACCAUGCACCGAAGCUGCGGCAGCGACACUGUGUGUUGUUGGGUAGGGGAGCGUUCUGUAAGCCUGUGAAGGUGU